AACGAACGCUGGCGGCAUGCCUAACACAUGCAAGUCGAACGAGACCUUCGGGUCUAGUGGCGCACGGGUGCGUAACGCGUGGGAACCUGCCCUUAGGUUCGGAAUAACUCCCCGAAAGGGGUGCUAAUACCGGAUAAUGUCUUCGGACCAAAGAUUUAUCGCCUUUGGAUGGGCCCGCGUUGGAUUAGCUAGUUGGUAGGGUAAAAGCCUACCAAGGCGACGAUCCAUAGCUGGUCUGAGAGGAUGAUCAGCCACACUGGGACUGAGACACGGCCCAGACGGACAGGGGGGGAGGAGGGAGGGAAGAGGGGAAACGGGGGAAGAGGGUGAGGGGGAGGUGGCGUGUGGGGGAAGAAGGCGUGGGGUUGGACCGUCUGUGUGACCGGGGGUGAAAAGGGCAGUGGCGGGAGAACAGGCUCCGGCCACCGCAGAACCAGCCGCCGCAGGACAGAACGACUCCCACCCGCCCCAUC
rnacentral:rRNA from 1 species